UACGUAGGUGGCAAGCGUUGUCCGGAUUUAUUGGGUUUAAAGGGUGCGUAGGCGGCUUGAUAAGUCAGUGGUGAAAGCCGAUCGCUUAACGAUCGAACUGCCAUUGAUACUGCCAGGCUUGAGUAUAGUUGAGGUAGGCGGAAUUGACAGUGUAGCGGUGAAAUGCAUAGAAUAUUGUCAAGAACACCAAUUGCGAAGGCAGCUUACUAAAGUAUAACUGACGCGUGAGGCAACGGAAGUGCGGGGAUCAAACAGG
rnacentral:rRNA from 1 species